rfam:Triticum urartu cultivar G1812 contig1203172, whole genome shotgun sequence.
GAUCUACUCACUCGGUCCCAAAAAGCUUGUCUUAGAUUUGUCUAGAUACAGAUGUAUCUAGACACGUUUUAGUGUUAGAUACAUCCAUAUCUAGAUAAUCUAAGACAAGCUUUUCGGGACGGAGGUAGUACUAU